rnacentral:lncRNA from 1 species
AUGGAUUUAGGAGCCCAGUAAAAGCUAUCUGUACUUGCUUGGUGGUAUACGGCUAGGAUAAAUUUUAUAAAUUUGCUCAGGUGCUAAUCGGAAUAGGCUGGCUACUCCUAGCAUCAAUAAAGAGUCUCGCAAGCUUAGAUGCCUAAAGUCUGUUGAACAAUGUUUCAUAUAUCUUUGAUCCGCCUGUGGAUCCUUUACUUUCCGUUUGUAAUACUUUGAUAUUACUUGAUAUCGGGUUGUAAUAUAUUCAUCUUUUGCU